AUACGAAGGGGGCUAGCGUUGUUCGGAAUUACUGGGCGUAAAGCGCGCGUAGGCGGAUUGGUCAGUUAGGGGUGAAAUCCCAGGGCUUAACCCUGGAACUGCCUCUAAUACUGCCAGUCUUGAGUUCGGGAGAGGUGAGUGGAAUUCCUAGUGUAGAGGUGAAAUUCGUAGAUAUUAGGAAGAACACCAGUGGCGAAGGCGGCUCACUGGCCCGAUACUGACGCUGAGGUGCGAAAGCGUGGGGAGCAAACAGGAUUAGAAACCCUAGUAGUCC
rnacentral:rRNA from 1 species